GUCCAUGUCAAAUCCUCAGCGAUGUGGAGUCCAAGAAACUUGAAAGUGCUGACUCUCUCUACUGGCGUCCCGUUGAUGGCGAUAAGAGUGUGUGCUUUCUUCUAUCUCCUGAAAUCCACCACCAGCUUCUUGGUUUUGCUGGUGUUGAGCGAGAGGUGGUUUUCCGAGAAGGGUAUUCCUGCACAACUGGAGUGGCUGCACUCUCAGGACCGCAUUUUUAGGACCGCAUCUUUAGGACCCUAGUUUUUUGUGACAGCGUCACCUGUCGGAUUGGAUCAUGGAUGCGCUAAUGGACGACACGGAUGACAAGGAAAGUGCCAUCGUACAUCCUCUGGGUGUCUUGAGGAGCUGGUCUUUGGAUAAUGCUGAGCAGGUCUUUCUUUCUGUGAAGUAAAAGAAUUUAACAGACAGAUUUACAAACAACUGACGAAAGAAGGGAGACCAUUCAAUAGAGGCCUCUAGAGAUCGUAACCUGUGAAGAGAUGAUGCCACCAUAGAGGACUUCUAAAUGUAUCCAUAAUCCUGAAACAGACCGUAUCAUGAGCAGAUGCUGUGGUGGUCAUGGAGAAGUGGAGAGCAUGAGACUGAUUAAUGAAAGACCCCAGUGACAGAUGAGUGCCCACAUUGACCCUGUGGUCCAGCCUGAAAACCAGCUGGUGACCUACUCACACCUGCAGCUUCUCUACGAUGGACGCCCAGUGUUUGCCUCCAGCGCCUAGACUGCAGCUCUGCAUGUGAAGUGUGGCCAGAAGAGAAAUGGUUGUUCCCA